rnacentral:rRNA from 1 species
UACGUAGGUGGCAAGCGUUGUCCGGAUUUACUGGGCGUAAAGCGCGCGCAGGCGGUUCGUUAAGUCCGGUGUGAAAGCUCCCGGCUCAACUGGGAGAGGUCAUUGGAUACUGGCGAACUCGAGGGAGGCAGAGGAAGGUGGAAUUCCCGGUGUAGUGGUGAAAUGCGUAGAGAUCGGGAGGAACACCAGUGGCGAAGGCGGCCUUCUGGGCCUUUCCUGACGCUGAGGCGCGAAAGCGUGGGGAGCGAACCGG